AGGAGACAAGAAGGCAUCUUCUUGUUUUUAAAAGACCUAGUAAUAGGUAUGCUUAGGGAGGAGCUUGCGUCACAUUAGUUAGUUGGUGGGGUAAAGGCCUACCAAGACUAUGAUGUGUAGCCGGGCUGAGAGGUUGAACGGCCACAUUGGGACUGAGACACGGCCCAAACUCCUACGGGAGGCAGCAGUAGGGAAUUUUCGGCAAUGGAGGAAACUCUGACCGAGCAACGCCGCGUGAACGAUGAAGUAUUUCGGUACGUAAAGUUCUUUUAUUAGGGAAGAAUAAAUGAUGGAAAAAUCAUUCUGACGGUACCUAAUGAAUAAGCCCCGGCUAACUAUGUGCCAGCAGCCGCGGUAAUACAUAGGGGGCAAGCGUUAUCCGGAAUUAUUGGGCGUAAAGGGUGCGUAGGGCGGUUAAAUAAGUUUAUGGUCUAAAGUGCAAUGCUCAACAUUGUGAUGCUAUAAAAACUGUUAGCUAGAGUAAGAUAGAGGCAAGUGGAAUUCCAUGUGUAGUGGUAAAUGCGUAAUUUUGGAGGACACAGUAGCGAAGGCGGUUGUGGG
rnacentral:rRNA from 1 species